rnacentral:rRNA from 1 species
GACGAACGCUGGCGGCGUGCUUAACACAUGCAAGUCGAACGGAAAGGCCCUGCUUUUGUGGGGUGCUCGAGUGGCGAUCGGGUGAGUAACACGUGAGUAACCUGCCCUUGACUUUGGGAUAACUUCAGGAAACUGGGGCUAAUACCGGAUACGAGCUCCUGCUGCAUGUUGGGGGUCGGAAAGUUUCGGCGGCUGGGGCUGGACUAGCGGCUUAGCAGCUUGUUGGUGGGGUAGUGGCUUACCAAGGCUUUGACGGGUAGCCGGCCUGAGAGGGUGACCGGCCACAUUGGGACUGAGAUACGGCCCAGACUCCUACGGGAGGCAGCAGUGGGGAAUAUUGCACGAUGGGCGGAAGCCUGAUGCAGCAACGCCGCGUGCGGGAUGACGGCCUUCGGGGUGUAAACCGCUUUCGCCUGUGACGAAGCGUGAGUGACGGUAAUGGGUAAAGAAGCACCGGCUAACUACGUG